rnacentral:rRNA from 1 species
UACAGAGGUCUCAGGCGUUGUUCGGAAUUAUUGGGCGUAAAGGGUGCGUAGGCGGUUUGGUAAGUCUGAUGUGAAAUCUAUGGGCUCAACUCAUAGUCUGCAUCGGAAACUGCCGGGCUUGAGUAUGGGAGAGGUGAGUGGAAUUCCGUGGUGUAGCGGUGAAAUGCGUAGAUAUCAGGAGGAACACCUGUGGCGAAAGCGGCUCACUGGACCAUAACUGACGCUGAUGCACGAAAGCUAGGGGGAGCAAACAGG